GCCGGGCAUGGUGGCACGUGCCUGUAAUCCCAGCAGCUUGGGAAGCUGAGGCAGAAGAAUUGCGAGUUCAAAGCCAGCCUCCGCAAAAGCAUGGUGCUAAGCAACUCAGUGAGACCCUGCCUCUA
rnacentral:sRNA from 1 species